rnacentral:rRNA from 1 species
UACGUAGGGGGGCAAGCGUUGUCCGGAUUUACUGGGCGUAAAGAGCGUGUAGGCGGCCAAGCAGGUCCGUUGUGAAACUGGAGGCUUAACCUCCAGACGUCGACGGAAACCGCGUGGCUAGAGUCCGGAAGAGGAGAGUGGAAUUCCGUGGUGUAGCGGUGAAAUGCGCAGAUAUCAGGAAGAACACCAAUGGCGAAGGCAGCUCUCUGGGACGGUACUGACGCUGAGACGCGAAAGCGUGGGGAGCGAACAGG